rfam:Pichia sorbitophila strain CBS 7064 chromosome F complete sequence.
GGUUCCAUGGUCUAGUGGUAUGACGUCUGUUUCACUCACAGAAGAUCUCGAGUUCGAUCCUCGAUGGAAUCA